rnacentral:rRNA from 1 species
AUGCCGCGUGAGUGACGAAGGCCUUAGGGUCGUAAAGCUCUUUCGCCUGUGAUGAUAAUGACAGUAGCAGGUAAAGAAACCCCGGCUAACUCCGUGCCAGCAGCCGCGGUAAUACGGAGGGGGUUAGCGUUGUUCGGAAUUACUGGGCGUAAAGCGCACGUAGGCGGAUCAGAAAGUUGGGGGUGAAAUCCCGGGGCUCAACCCCGGAACUGCCUCCAAAACUUCUGGUCUGGAGUUCGAGAGAGGUGAGUGGAAUUCCGAGUGUAGAGGUGAAAUUCGUAGAUAUUCGGAGGAACACCAGUGGCGAAGGCGGCUCACUGGCUCGAUACUGACGCUGAGGUGCGAAAGUGUGGGGAGCAAACAGGAUUAGAUACCCUGGUAGUCCACACCGUAAACGAUGAAUGCCAGUCGUCGGCAAGCAUGCUUGUCGGUGACACACCUAACGGAUUAAGCAUUCCGCCUGGGGAGUACGGUCGCAAGAUUAAAACUC